GUUUAAGGUUUGUAUUUACUUCGGACCAGUUAACAAAACUCAAGCCUAUACCCUUUCAGUUAAGAUUGAACGUUUCGAACCAGAAUCCAAAACUCAGUCUAAGUGGGUUAUAGGAUAGCUAGUGAUAACGUAAUUUAUCUUUUUAUUUUGCUUUUUUGUUUAUAACGUAAUUUAUUAGCUAAAUGUAUGGACUGUGAGAGUGUGCGCCGUGUGUAUAAGAUGCAUGGGGUUAAGCUAAACUAAAGGAAUUAAAAUUUUGAGAG